rnacentral:rRNA from 1 species
AUUGAACGCUGGCGGCAGGCCUAACACAUGCAAGUCGAACGAGUGGCGGACGGGUGAGUAAUGUCUGGGAAACUGCCAGAUGGAGGGGGAUAACUCCUGGAAACGGUAGCUAAUACCGCAUACCAUCGGAUGUGCCCAGAUGGGAUUAGCUAGUAGGGGGGGUAACGGCUCACCUAGGCGGCGAUCCCUAGCUGGUCUGAGAGGAUGACCAGCCACACUGGAACUGAGACACGGUCCAUACUCCUACGGUAGGCAGCAUGGGGGAAUAUUGCACAAUGGGCGCAAGCCUGAUGCAGCCAUGCCGCGUGUAUGAAGAAGGCCUUCGGGUUGUAAAGUACUUUCAGCGGGGAGGCGUUACUCGCAGAAGAAGCACCGGCUAACUCCGUGCCAGCAGCCGCGGUAAUAC